CUUGUGGCUGUAUCAAGUAUCAAAAGGAAUAUAUACUUGUUGUAAGCAGGGCGAGCAGAGUGGGCGUUAUCCACGCCCCGUGAAAACUUGGGAGUGGUGGCUGAUGCAAACGAUCGCUUCUCUCCAAAUCGGGUGUCCUGAAAGCCAUUAUGAUCUCCAAUGGGAAAAGGAAUUGGAUUGAAGAUAUAUAUAUAUAUAUAUAUAGUGAUGUAUAUGAAGAGCAGAGCAGAAGGCAAACAUUGAGCGGGAGACGACACGUUGCCUGCUACCACCUUUUGUAGGGGAGUGGCAAUUAACCUGCAAAUUCUAGGAAAGUUAGUUACACAGCUCUGAAUCAUUCUUUUCCAGCAAAUUCUUUAUUUUCUUAUGCUGUCUAAAAAAGAAAUUUGGUUUCUGUUAAUCUAAACCCACAAAACCCGGCAUUGGAUUCUUUGUGGUUAGUUAAAUUAAACAAUCGAACCCACUCAUCUUUCGUCUGCGUCUUGCUUCUUCUAUGCCCUGAGAUAUCAGGAUUAACCCAUUGCUACUGGCUACUAGUAAUCUUAUUUUGUUUUCGUUUCGUUACUGCUUUUGCUCUAUGGACGAUUCCUAUAUGAUGAUCAUUUAUCCUGAGUUCUGAAUC